rnacentral:rRNA from 1 species
GACAGAGGAUGCAAGCGUUAUCCGGAAUGAUUGGGCGUAAAGCGUCUGUAGGUGGCUUUUUAAGUCCGCCGUCAAAUCCCAGGGCUCAACCCUGGACAGGCGGUGGAAACUACCAAGCUGGAGUACGGUAGGGGCGGAGGGAAUUUCCGGUGUAGCGGUGAAAUGCGUAGAGAUCGGAAGGAACGUCAAUGGCGAAGGCAGCCACCUGGCAUCAUACUGACGCUGAGGCGCGAAAGCGUGGGUAGCGAACAGG